AGAACUUGGAUGUUUCUUGUGUAAUAAAUCAAAUAAUGUUGAACAAGUUGUGGAGUUGCUUCAUGUUAUGUUUUUUUUUUUUCCAGGCUUUGGAAUAAUCACUGUGAUGGGACAGGAAGCAGAAACAAAUGUAAAGCUGGAGGCAGGGACCUUGAAGGAGAUCAUGAAGACUUUGAGCAGACACGUUUCAGACAUGGGAGAGGAUGGCCGAAGAGAACUUGAACAACGAAAAACAGUGGAUUAGACACAGAUGCAGAAGAUUACUGUUCUACCUGUUCAGAUUCAGAUUUUGUGGAGAAGAGAAGGAAAAUGAAUUGGUAAGUUAUCCAAAAAAAAAAAAAAAAGAAAACUACUUGAAUCAGAUGGACAGCAUUAAACAGGAUAUUCAUUUUAGAAGAAUAACUGCUUCAGAAGCUCUCUGAAAUUUUGUCUACCUUGUCUACUCUAACCAGUUGCACUAUGAAGACAAAUUUCAAAGGCUGCCCCAAGUUCAAGGAGGAUUAACUCUAAGCUAGGCCUCUUAGGGACUCCUCUAAGGAGAUACUAGUAUGUGCAGUGUUUGGACUCCAAGGAGAACACUCUUUAGUUAAUUAAAUGGCAUAAUACACUUCUUUUUUUUUAAGGGGGAAGACUUGGAUCAAAUUUGGCUGUGAAGUGGUAUGCACAGCAUUUGAUACUACAGGCAUUCCAGGACAGUUAACUUGUGCCCUUACGUAUUUGUUCAAGGGGCAACAUAUGUGCAAGCUCAGUGACUGCUUUGUCUUUUGCCUUCACAGUGAUCAAUAUAGGCAAAUC
rnacentral:lncRNA from 1 species